GCUUCAGUGGGGGCAGAGUUGGUUUUCUUCAUCAAGUCUGGUACAUAGCAGUGUUUUGGCUUUGGGAGUAAGAUGGUGAUGACAGUGCAGCAACGUUCCUUUCAGCUGUCGCUAAGCAGAGCUGCAUGGAGCCAAGGCCGUUCCAGUUCCUGGAAUCCUGCUUCCUUUAUAAAAGCUACUCCUUUUCUCACUGAUGUCAUCCUUUGAGAGUGUGUCAUAAAAGGAAAAGCCACCAAGCAGGAAGAACUGAUGACCUCUGCAGCCGGUCUCUUAUCUCCCUACUUCUUGCUUCCAGACAGCCAUUUCACACUGCAGCAGAUCAGUGUGCAAGCUAUGAACAAAAAGGGGCAAACUCACCUUUCCUGCCUUCCAUCCUCUAAGGUUCCCACCACCCCCUUCACAUCAGACAGAGCUAUUGUGCUACUACAUCAUAAAUCAGACAUCUACGGCAAAUCUGAAGAGGGCAGCUGGGUAGAAGUUAUCCAGAUCUGGUUCAGUGGCUGAGUACGGUGUUCUACAGCGGUUCAGUUCUGAAUGACGAUGCACUGACAAAGUAGAUGCAGCCAAAACAGUCUGUCAGAGCAGCCCUGGGUAACUUCAGCUGAUUGUGAACAAAAA